CAUGCCUAACACAUGCAAGUCGAACGAAGGCUUCGGCCUUAGUGGCGCACGGGUGCGUAACGCGUGGGAAUCUGCCCUUGGUUCGGAAUAACAGUUGGAAACGACUGCUAAUACCGGAUGAAUGACGUAAGUCCAAAGAUUUAUCGCCGAGGGAUGAGCCCGCGUAGGAUUAGGUAGUUGGUGUGGUAAAGGCGCACCAAGCCGACGAUCCUUAGCUGGUCUGAGAGGAUGAUCAGCCACACUGGGACUGAGACACGGCCCAGACUCC
rnacentral:rRNA from 1 species